UCUAAAGUAAACAGAAAUCCCUUUGGGAAAUAAGAUUUAAGGUGAGAAGGGAGUGGGGGAUCAAACAGGGAGGUUUUUAGUUUUUAUACUUCUGCAUCUUUUAUGAGAGUAAACUUGACAAAGUAAUUUUUUAUCUUAAAAAUACAAACUAUAAAACAAUACGUACAGUAAGAUACCUAAAAAAAUACUGGCACAUAUGUGUAUACAUAAACCUAAGAUUAAAAGGACUUACACUCCUCAUGUAUUGCUUUGAUAGGGGGAAAGCCCAAGAAACAUAAGAUGCUAAUCUCAACUACAGUAAGUGUGAAUUAAGUGUAAAAAUGACUUCUUCCUGGUGAAGAGUGACUGCAGAACAGCUGUGCUAAUAAGAAGGGAGAUGAGGGGAAAGUAGGCUUGAGAACACAGACGAGGUUGGUUUUGCCCAGGAGUCAGCAGAGCAACAGGUGAGUAUGUCUGGAGGCACAGUUAGUUGGGAAACAGGAAACAGAACUCAGGAGCAGGAACGGGGGUUGGGGGGAGCACAGAAGGAUGUGCUCCAGCAAGAUCACGAGGACAAAAGAAGCCUGAGGACUGAAGCGUGGGAAACACCUCCGGUAAGAGGGUGCAGGGAGGAGCCUAAAGGUGGAGAAGGUGGUAAGGAACAAGAAAGAAAAUGAGGAGAAUGCGAUGUUCUAAGAAACCAGGGGAAGAGAGAGUUUCAGGAAGCAAGCGGUGGUAAGGCGAGCAGUGCCAAGUUCAGGAGGACCAACGGGGAAGCAGCUGUGGACCAGGCAACUAGCCAGCAAGGCCCCAGCACCGUGUCGGUUUAUUUUGCUGCCACUUGGAAUACUUCGUUCACUGGUGUAGAUU